UGCGGCCGUAACUCCGGUUGAUCCUGCCGGACCCGACCGCUAUCGGGGUGGGACUAAGCCAUGCAAGUCGAACGCCCCGGGCUAUGGCGGGGCGUGGCG
rnacentral:rRNA from 1 species